UGGGAGGUGGAGGUUGCAGUGAGCCAACAUUGCACCACUGCACUCCAGUCUGGGGAACAGAGCAAGACUCUCUCUUCAAAAAUAAAAAAGUAAAGAGAAAUCAGGUGCAGGGGUAGAGUGCACUAGCACGAGCAGGGAUGCUGUGGUGAUGGAGAAGGUGGUCAGGAAAGGCCUCUCUGUGAAGGUGAUAGACAUGAGGGCUGAGCCCGGGGACUCCUGGGGAGAGCAACAUGGGAAGGCUCUGGGUGUUGGUGCCAUUUGUGGUCCUUUUGUUUUGUUUUGUUUCGUUUUUGAGACAAAGUCUUGCUCUGUCGCCCAGGCUGGAGUGAAGUGGCACAAUCUCGGCUCACUGCAAACUCCGCCACCUGGUUCAAGCCACCUCAGCCUCCCCAAGAGCUGGCAUGGCAGGUGUGAGUCACUGCACCUGGCCUAGGUAUCAACGUUUUUAAAUUCUUCCAAAAGCUGUGCUUUAGGAAGAUUGUUCUGACAGCCAUCAGAAAUAAAUUACAGAAUGGCAGGACAAGGAUCACGUCAGUGACAGGGUGGCUGUGGACAUCUGCUGGCCAGCAGCAGGGAAGCUACUCAGACCCCGGAUUCUACCUCUGCAGCCCACCUGCACCUGAACCCUCCUCCCCACAUCAGUAGAAGCCUGGAACUCUUAGAACAGCAGACCUCAUCAGCCGCUGCCACCUUUACCAGAAUCAUGUGAUUAAUUCGUUCACACAGAAGACAGCAGGAACCCCAACAGAACAGGAUCCAGAAUGUGUGGGUUUUGACGGACAGGGUGAUAGGAUCUGGGAGGUUCCACCUACCUCACACCCCCCCCCCGACCCCCACACUCCAUCCCCAGUCCUGCUCAGUAUAGAGACGAGUGACAUCACCAGAAAUGUAGAUGCUUGGAAGGACACCAGAGACACGGAGAAAGGGAGGCCAGAGGUCCGCAAGGCGCCCAGAUCCUAGCCUCGGAUGCCCAGGACUCUGUCCAGAAUGGCUCCCUCCCAGCCAUGGAACUUGAUGGUCCUUGAGUUCCUGAGGAUGGAGCUGGUGAGCAGGCCCCGCAAGUCCUUCCGCCUCAUUUGCUCUCCUGGGAUUGGAGGGAAGAGAGAGAUGAAGACACAGCCGGUCCAGAAUUCUCCCCUGCACCCUGACAGUCACCCUGCAGCAAAUCCCACUGAUCUCACCAAGUGCGUCCCAAAGCUGUCUGCCUCUCCACAUCUCUGACCCCCAGUCCUGAUCCAUCCACCAUCAUCCUGUGCUUGGACCCCUGCAGGAGCUGACCCGGUGCCACUGCCCUGGGGAGGCAGCUUCUGAUGCCCAGAGAACAGAGGCUGCCCCUGAGCCCACCUGGGUAUGGUGUCAUCAGGAAGGCUACCUGGAGGUCUCCUGUGGCUGGGCGUGGAGAGAGGCUGUGGGCAGAAGCAGGGAGCAAGCCAGGGCCUUGCUGCUGGAUGCAUUUUUUUUUUUUUUUUUUUGAGACGGAGUUUCACUCUUGUUACCCAGGCUAGGGUGCAUCUUCAAGGUGACACCACGCAAAUCUGCUGACAGAUGGGGUACAGGAGAAAAAGGCAUUGAACUGACAAUGCUCUCUCUUCUGUCAGCCUGAGGGAACUGCCUGAGGCCUGAACACUGGAGGGAGGAGCCGUGUCCACUGCGAUGGGGAAGGAGCGGGACAAGUCUGCACAAUGGGCAACUCACAGAGACAAGAACAAACCCAGACCCGCCGGCUCCCACCCAGCUCUCCCCUCCCCAUCGCCCACACCAGGGCCUGUGUCUUCCUCCCCACUUCCUGCCUGGUCUGUCCCUUUCCCAAAAGCUGAACCUGACAGUGAUUCCUCUUCUUGGUGAUGAAGAAAUUCAGAGGGAAGAGGCUCAGGAAGACAGCGAUGGCGGUGAGGGCGGAGGGGCCCAGGAGCUGGGGACAGGACAGAACGUCAGGAGAUCUGGAGGAGCCCAGCUGCCAGAGGCAUGUGAACCACAGCACCUCCGCCUUGAAUAGGAGCUGGGUAAAAGUGGCUGAGACCUACUGGGCUGCAUUCCCAGACAGUGAAGGCAUUCUAAGUCACAGGAUGAAAGAGGAGGUCAGUACAGGAUACAGGUCACAGAGAUUUCACUGAUAAAAACAGGCUGCAGUAAAAAAGCCAGUCCAAAACCCCCCAAAACCAAGAUGGCCAGGAGAGUGACCUCUGGCCGUCCUCACUGCUACAUUGCCACCAGCGCCAUGACAAUUUACAAAUGCCAUGGCAACAUCAGAAAGUUGCCCUAUGUGAUCUAAAAAAGGGGUGUCAUGAAUAGUCUACCCCUCAUUCAGCAUGUCAU